GCAGCGCCCUCGCUUUCAGCUCGGUCCCGCGCCCACCCUCGGCUCGGCGGCGGCUCGUGCCCCGCGCUGGCUCUUGCCAGCCUCUCUCGUGCGUUCCAGCUCUGUGCUGAGGUCCUCAGGGUGUGCAGGGAGCGCCCUCAGAGAGGGAAAAACAAAAAUCAGGCAGGAAUAAGCGGUUCCAGCCCUGCGUGGGAGCUGGGGCUGGCAAACAGAGGCUGCCAGAAGCCAAAUUUGGGAAGAUGGAUACUGAGAAGAGGCCAAAACCAAAAUCUGCACCAUACAGAAAAGUUCAACAGGCAGGUAUCGAUUUCAAAGACACUUUCAUCAGAAGAGAUUUGUCAGCCGUCGGAUGGAAUUUCUGGUCGCGACCAGGAGGAGAUGGCAAGGUUGGAGUAUCAGGUAGCGCCACCGGCGGGGAACUCACCUGGAAUGUGGAAAAUCAAGGUUCAGGCCUAGAGACUUGAACGUGAGAUUUGCAGAUGUAUAACAUUCAAAAAGUCUUGGUCCAAGAGAGGAAUGAAAACACUGCUGCAAUCUCAUCAAAUCUUUGCAAAACUUGAAGCCUGCUUCUUCCACUCCGCUGCCGAUCCUCUUUGCCAUAGAAACAAAUUGCAAAAAAUCCACUGAAUUCUUGGGAACAAACUGUUUCAAGUAAUAUAAUUUGUCAAUAGCUGGGGAAUUUACUGGGUAUAAGGUUCAUUGUUAGUGUAA